rnacentral:rRNA from 1 species
GACGAACGCUGGCGGCGUGCUUAACACAUGCAAGUCGAACGGAAAGGCCCUGCUUGCAGGGUACUCGAGUGGCGAACGGGUGAGUAACACGUGGGUGAUCUGCCCUGCACUUCGGGAUAAGCCUGGGAAACUGGGUCUAAUACCGGAUAGGAGCCAUUUUUAGUGUGAUGGUUGGAAAGUUUUUUCGGUGUAGGAUGAGCUCGCGGCCUAUCAGCUUGUUGGUGGGGUAAUGGCCUACCAAGGCGGCGACGGGUAGCCGGCCUGAGAGGGUGGACGGCCACAUUGGGACUGAGAGACGGCCCAGACUCCUACGGGAGGCAGCAGUGGGGAAUAUUGCACCAUGGGCGCCAGCCUGAUGCAGCGACGCCGCGUGGGGGAUGACGGCCUUCGGGUUGUAAACUCCUUUCGCUAGGGACGAAGCUUUUUGUGACGGUACCUAGAUAAGAAGCACCGGCUAACUACGUG